ACUCAUGUACUAGAUCUAGCUAUUUUGAUCACAACUCAUAUCUUGCCUAGAUAUAAACAACUGUACUAGAUUGGACUAGACAUUCUAAUCGGUUCUAUUUUCGUUUUUCAUUAUUCUCACAUAUUCUAGUAGGCAAUAGGUACCAAAUUGUGCUAUUUAUUCACUGUAGAUCUAGAUCUUAACUUUUCUCUUAACUACCAAAGAAGUACACAAAGGAUGUUGAAUGGUACCCAAAGGGCUCUAAUUGCUACCAUUCAAUGUGUGGAAUCAAGUAUUUACCCAGAUACUGCCACAGUAUGUUCUUAUUGUUUUCAAAGGAGUUUUCACACAGUGCCAGAAGCUGUAUAAAUACAUUUAACAGUGUAUAUUUCAAGAAGAAAUGAUGCUUUCUUAUUCCUAAGAGUUUAUCAAUAGGAUGGAUGCCACAAAACUCACUUGUUAUGCCAGAAACUCUUCCUACGAAACUUCCAUACUAGAAUUUGUCCAGUGCCUGUGAUCCUCUGAGUUGAAGGAGAAUGUGCUCCAUAAUACCUAUUAGGAGCUUGCUGAUAGCUGGAAGUUCAUGAAUACUAUGUUGUUCUUGAUUUGAUGAUUCUGAAAACUACCAUUGCUGAAGACUUGAGCAUUAUU